rnacentral:rRNA from 1 species
AUUGAACGCUGGCGGCAGGCUUAACACAUGCAAGUCGAGCGGAGAUGAGGUGCUUGCACCUUAUCUUAGCGGCGGACGGGUGAGUAAUGCUUAGGAAUCUGCCUCUUAGUGGGGGACAACAUUCCGAAAGGAAUGCUAAUACCGCAUACGCCCUACGGGGGAAAGCAGGGGAUCUUCGGACCUUGCGCUAAUAGAUGAGCCUAAGUCGGUUUAGCUAGUUGGUGGGGUAAAGGCCUACCAAGGCGACGAUCUGUAGCGGGUCUGAGAGGAUGAUCCGCCACACUGGGACUGAGACACGGCCCAGACUCCUACGGGAGGCAGCAGUGGGGAAUAUUGGACAAUGGGCGGAAGCCUGAUCCAGCCAUGCCGCGUGUGUGAAGAAGGCCUUUUGGUUGUAAAGCACUUUAAGCGAGGAGGAGGCUACCUGGAUUAAUACUCUAGGAUAGUGGACGUUACUCGCAGAAUAAGCACCGGCUAACUCUGUGCCAGCCGCCGCCGUAAAAC